rnacentral:rRNA from 1 species
AACCAGCCAAGUAGCGUGCAGGAUGACGGCCCUAUGGGUUGUAAACUGCUUUUAUAAGGGAAUAAAGUGAGAGUCGUGACUCUUUUUGCAUGUACCUUAUGAAUAAGGACCGGCUAAUUCCGUGCCAGCAGCCGCGGUAAUACGGAAGGUCCGGGCGUUAUCCGGAUUUAUUGGGUUUAAAGGGAGCGUAGGCCGGAGAUUAAGCGUGUUGUGAAAUGUAGAUGCUCAACAUCUGCACUGCAGCGCGAACUGGUUUCCUUGAGUACGCACAAAGUGGGCGGAAUUCGUGGUGUAGCGGUGAAAUGCUUAGAUAUCACGAAGAACUCCGAUUGCGAAGGCAGCUCACUGGAGCGCAACUGACGCUGAAGCUCGAAAGUGCGGGUAUCGAACAGGAUUAGAUACCCUGGUAGUCCGCACGGUAAACGAUGGAUGCCCGCUGUUGGUCUGAAUAGGUCAGCGGCCAAGCGAAAGCAUUAAGCAUCCCACCUGGGGAGUACGCCGGCAACGGUGCAACUCAAAUGAAUUG